GAUCCUGGCUCAGGAUGAACGCUGGCGGCAUGCCUAAUACAUGCAAGUCGAACGAGAGGAAGGAAAGCUUGCUUUUCUGAAUCUAGUGGCGAACGGGUGAGUAACACGUAGGUAACCUGCCCAUGUGCCCGGGAUAACUUCUGGAAACGGAUGCUAAAACCGGAUAGGUAGCAGACAAGCAUUUGACCUGCUAAUUUAAAAGGUCGGUCCGUUCGGCCAUAGAACAGUGGAUCGGACCUGCGGUG
rnacentral:rRNA from 1 species